rnacentral:tRNA from 1 species
GUCCUUGGCUCAGUUGGUAGAGCAUGGUGCUUCCAACACCCGGGUUGUGGGUUCAUAUCCCAUGGGGGACC